rnacentral:lncRNA from 1 species
AUGAUUAGAUCUAUAUGUAAACUGAAUGUUCAAAGAAAAUAUUGUUCUGCUUGCUUUCACACUUCGGGCCUUAUAGCGUACUUGCCUGUCCAUCUGAGCGUCUUGUGCCGCACAGGGACAUUUCAUGUCUUUAGCUUUUUGUCAUUUACAGCCCUCAAUCAUGUUGAAAACACAUAUUGUUGGAGACCACGCUUAUCAGUGGUACAGAUUACUAGAUGCUCUGGAGGGGUAAAUGGCUGUCAAGUGGAAGUCCAAGGCGAAUGGGUGAGCAGCAGUGAGAAGUGAGCAGGUUUUUUGUCCCCUUCGUCGUGUCCCUGGAGUGAGGUGAGCAAGAGUUUCCCGUCAAACCGUGAGAGUGUGCGUGGGUCGUGAGGAUUGGAUGUUUGGACUGCCCUCUGACCUCUGGAUCUCCCCCAGAUUAACCCUCUUCUGUGUGGCCUGUGAUUUUCUCUUCUCUGUAAAUAAACAGAAAGGACAGAUUCUAAAAGUCUACAGUGAGCUAUGUAGCUAAGCCUGGCAUAGCUAGCAAACAUCUAUACACACGGGCUGUUUGUUGUGAACACAUGCAUAAGGGGGAAAAUAUUUUGUUACAUGUGUUACUGAAACGAAACAUUUAACAUUAGUAAAUCUGUACUGUCGUGCAGGAUGUAAACUGUGGGAUCAAAGUGAAAUAAAAUCACAAAGGUGAAUCUUUUUAUAACGAAUCAAUAAAAAGUUAGUUUAAGGUAAUAUAAUAAACCUAAUGAAUGAAUUAAAAUGUGUUUUAUUUUGACUCAGGAGGGCCACAGGAUGACCACCACCACUCUCAAUCACUUUAUCUUUUUAUAGAACAGAAAUUUCUCCCUUGCAGCAAUCGGAAACGCAGCUGGCAUGAAACCCAGAAUGACAGGGUCAGCAGGUGGUUCAGGGAGAGACGCAGAGGGGAAACAGGCAACCAGAAGGCGAGCUUGAUAACAAGCAGAAUGGACAGAUAACAGCUGGGCAGAGAGCAAGCAGAUGGACAGAGGAAGUGUAGGUAAAGAGUGGAAGGAUCUUUGAGAUGAAAACCAGAGGGAAGGUAUUCAGUUAAGUAACGACAAAAGGGCAAAUGAGUUUCCAACUCUCUGUUCUUUUCUAAUGUGAGAUGAUGUGAUACGCUGCAAUAGAGACAGAGGAGAGAGAGAGAGGAAAGCAGCAGUGUCAUUAAUGGAAGCCCUCCAUCAGGAUGAAAGAGAGCUGCAGUUGCCUCAAACCGUGGACGCCCACACAGCACCACGACUUCCCGGUGACAAGAAACUUAGGACACACAAAGAGGGGGGGGUGACUGUGCUGUAGAGUCUUAUAUAUCAGAGGACCAGCAGACAGAAGAAGAUAAUGAGAAAAACAAAAUAAAGAAAAAAAAGAGCGAACAAUAGAGUUGGUAGAGAAAGAAGUAAAUCAAAGGACAAACUGAUGGUGCUUACAGACCUCACUGUACAGUAUGUUCACUGUCUCCACCCC